GCACAAGCGGUGGAGCAUGUGGUUAAUUCGACGCAACGCGAAGAACCUUACCAGGGCUUGACAUCCCCUGACCGCGUAUGAAAGUACGUUUUCGACCCUCGGGUGACAGGGAGACAGGUGGUGCAUGGUUGUCGUCAGCUCGUGUCGUGAGAUGUUGGGUUAAGUCCCGCAACGAGCGCAACCCCUACGUUUAGUUGCUAACAGGUGAAGCUGAGCACUCUAGACGAACUGCCGUUGACAAAACGGAGGAAGGUGGGAUGACGUCAAAUCAUCAUGCCCCUUAUGUUCUGGGCUACACACGUGCUACAAUGGCCGGUACAGACGGAGGCGAAGCCGCGAGGCGGAGCAAAUCCGAAAAAGCCGGUCUCAGUUCGGAUUGCAGGCUGCAAUUCGCCUGCAUGAAGUCGGAAUCGCUAGUAAUCGCAGGUCAGCAUACUGCGGUGAAUACGUUCCCGGGCCUU
rnacentral:rRNA from 1 species